CUCCAACGAGCGCAACCCUGAUCCAGCAAUUCUGUGUGCACGAUGAAGGUUUUCGGAUUGUAAAGUGCUUUCAGCAGGGAAGAAAAAAAUGACGGUACCUGCAGAAGAAGCGACGGCUAAAUACGUGCCAGCAGCCGCGGUAAUACGUAUGUCGCAAGCGUUAUCCGGAAUUAUUGGGCAUAAAGGGCAUCUAGGCGGCCAGAUAAGUCUGGGGUGAAAACUUGCGGCUCAACCGCAAGCCUGCCCUGGAAACUAUGUGGCUAGAGUACUGGAGAGGUGGACGGAACUGCACGAGUAGAGGUGAAAUUCGUAGAUAUGUGCAGGAAUGCCGAUGAUGAAGAUAGUUCACUGGACGGUAACUGACGCUGAAGUGCGAAAGCUAGGG
rnacentral:rRNA from 1 species